AUUGAACGCUGGCGGCAGGCCUAACACAUGCAAGUCGGGCGAGAGGCGGACGGGUGAGUAAUGUAUGGGGAUAUGCCUGAUGGAGGGGGAUAACUACUGGAAACGGUAGCUAAUACCGCAUACCAUACGAUGAACCCAUAUGGGAUUAGCUUGUAGGUGAGGUAACGGCUCACCUAGGCGACGAUCCCUAGCUGGUCUGAGAGGAUGACCAGCCACACUGGAACUGAGACACGGUCCAGACUCCUACGGGAGGCAGCAGUGGGGAAUAUUGCACAAUGGGCGCAAGCCUGAUGCAGCCAUGCCGCGUGUAUGAAGAAGGCCUUCGGGUUGUAAAGUACUUUCAGCGGGGAGGCGUUACUCGCAGAAGAAGCACCGGCUAACUCCGUGCCAGCAGCCGCGGUAAUUC
rnacentral:rRNA from 1 species